UACGUAGGGCGCAAGCGUUAUCCGGAAUUAUUGGGCGUAAAGAGCUCGUAGGCGGUUUGUCGCGUCUGCCGUGAAAGUCCGGGGCUCAACUCCGGAUCUGCGGUGGGUACGGGCAGACUAGAGUGAUGUAGGGGAGACUGGAAUUCCUGGUGUAGCGGUGAAAUGCGCAGAUAUCAGGAGGAACACCGAGUGGCGAAGGCAGGUCUCUGGGCAUUACUGACGCUGAGGAGCGAA
rnacentral:rRNA from 1 species